AUGGACAUGGCCAGGCUGAUGAAUGGGUGCUUCAUGAGUGCAAGCAUCUUCAGUGAACUACUGAAAGAAAUUCUUAACCUCCAUUUCUGGAGUAGGGCCCUUGCAGCCGUGAAGAAUUCAAAGCAGACGAAGAUCUCAGUCAUAAUCAAGAAGCCCGAAGGAAUUUUUAUGGAGUAUGCCUCCAAGGGUCUUUUCUUGACCAAGUCGGUGAUCUACAAUUUCAGUGUCUUACUUCUCGAGAUUUUAAGCGGGAAAAGGAAUGCAAGCUUCUUGAAUCUCAUAGGACACGUAUGCAAGCUGAGGCAAGAAGCGAACGGGCAUGAGUUGGUCGACAUGGUACUUGGGCUUGACUGCCUGGUGUCCAAGGUGAUGAACGAGGGGAUCAGACUGCCAGAGCCCAAGCAGCCGGCCUACUUCAAUGUCAGGAUGUCGAGCAUCCAGGAGUCAGUCAGACCGGUUGCCCGGUCGUCCUACAUCAGCAUCGACGUCGUCUUACGCGGGGUGGCUAUUUUUAGUGGCAAGGUUAAUGGGUGCAGGCUUGAGCGUCUUGGUGGACAACUAAGGGUUCCGUUCGUCGUCUCCACAGUGCAGCGCGUGGAGGGAGGGGAGGUGCGAAGGCUGGUGCUCCCGCCGCAAUGGGGGCUCCCUAGGCUAGUUGCAGAAUUCAGACAAUAA
rnacentral:rRNA from 1 species